GGACUCUCCUUGGUGAAUAAAGAAACAGCUGCCCAGAAAACAGUUAUUCUGGUCUUUGUUCACUAAUGGGAGCCUCAGUAAUUUUCAUAGCCUUAUGGGAAGACACACCCCCAAUAAACAUUGCUUAAAUAUGUUAUUAUAAAGUGUUUGCAUUGGUUAUCAUCAAAGGGUUAAGUUCUAAAUAUGUUAUUGUGAUAUGUUUAUAUUGGUCAUCUUCAAACAAAAUUUUCUGUGGGAAAAACAAGGUCUUUUUAUUUUUUAAUUUAUGUUUUAAUUUUUUGGUACUGGGGAUCAAGCUCAGGACCUUGCACUUGUGAGGCAGGGGCCAGAACCACUGAGCUAAAUCCCCAGCCCACAAGGUCUUUUUAAAAGGAUGCUUUUGGUACCAAGCUACAUUACAGGACAUAAUUGCAUAUAAAUGUAAUAAUUACUAUUGAUACUUCUCUGGUGUGCAAAAUAUAUUCAUGUCUUCUGACUGUACAGGUCUUUCAACAUAAUGUUUAUGAUAAUAACCUCCUUUUUUUUUUUGGUAUCGGGGAUCAAACUCAGGUCCUUGAAUUACUUUUUGAUCCAGGUAUUCACCUUUCACUUAUGCUCCAGCUACUUAUAACAGAUAUAUUUAUAGGUCCAUAUAUUUUCCUUAGAUGGCAUCCUAUCAAAAGAUAAUAACUUAAGUAAGAGUUUUCUUUUUUUAUGCAUUUUUGGAGGGGAGUGAGUGCUUUUAACAAUGGCUGUUUAUACUAAAAUACACAUUUAAGUGUGUUACAAUUAUAAUCUAGGUUUUGUUUGUUUUUUUGGUACUGGGGAUCGAACUUGGGUCCUUGCACUUGCGCAUCAGGUGGCAAAACCACUGAGCUAAAUCCCUGGCCCUACAAAUAUAAUCUUAUCAUGAUUAUCAUGCUAAAGUAUUAUCUGUGGCUCCUGAUUUAAAGCUUUCUUCUGUUAAUAUUGUACAGGAAUUUGACUACUAGAACAACCAUGAUUGAUAAAAAUAAUAGUCCUCUAACUACAUUUUAGAUUCCAAAAUGCUUGCUAUCCAGGUAAAAUUAGAUAGCUAAGUUCAUUACUCCUGUUGCAAUGCUAAUGUUAUUGAUCUUCUCUUCUGGGUGUUCGACCACUAAAGUCCAGAGCCCAGCACUGAAAAGAUAACUGGGCUAAAAAGACAGGCAAUAUUUUGGAUCUGGGCCUCCAAAGUCAAGAAAGAUCCAGGACAUGAGGGAACCUUUUCUACAAAUCCUACAUUUUUGGGUCUUGCUAUGAAGGUCAGGCUGGCCAUGAACACACUACACACCCCAGGCUGGCCUCAAACUCACAGCGAUCCUCCUGCCUCAGCCUCAUGAGUGGUGGGAUUACAGGCUUGAAAUGUUUGUCUUUGUGUUUUAGGGAUAUUUCUUGUAAAGCAUAUAGCUGGACAUUUAAAACAUACAACCUUAUGUCUUAUCACUUAAUAGAACAUUUAUUGUGAUUAUUGAUAAUUUUAGUUGUGUGUGUGUGUGUGUGUGUGUGUGUGUGUGUGUAUGGUGCAGGGGAUUAAACCCAGGGCCUUGUGCAUACUAAGCAUGUGCUCUACCAGUAAGCUAUAGCCCCAGC
ensembl:lncRNA